rnacentral:rRNA from 1 species
UCAGAACUCAAGGAAUUGACGGGGCCGCACAAGCGAGGAGCAUGUGGUUUAAUUCGAUGAUACGCGAGGAACCUUACCUGGGCUCGAACGUAAGAUGACUGUAGGUGAAAGCUUACAUCUCUUCGGAGCAUUUUACGAGGUGCUGCAUGGUUGUCGUCAGCUCGUGCCGUGAGGUGUCGGGUUAAGUCCCAUAACGAGCGCAACCCCUACCUUUAGUUGCCAUCAGGUAAUGCUGGGGACUCUAAAGGAACUGCCUACGCAAGUAGUGAGGAAGGCGGGGAUGACGUCAAAUCAGCACGGCCCUUACGUCCAGGGCUACACACGUGCUACAAUGGCCGAUACAGAGGGCAGCUACCUGGUGACAGGAUGCAAAUCUCCAAAGUCGGUCUCAGUUCGGAUCGGAGUCUGCAACCCGACUCCGUGAAGUUGGAUUCGCUAGUAAUCGCGCAUCAGCCAUGGCGCGGUGAAUACGUUCCCGGGCCUU